rnacentral:rRNA from 1 species
AUUGAACGCUGGCGGCAGGCCUAAUACAUGCAAGACGAACGGUAACUUUGAUAGCAAUAUUGAAGCAAGAGUGUCGUACGGGUGCGUAACACGUAUGCAACCUACCCUUUACAGGCGGAUAGCUCGGGGAAACUCGAAUUAACCCGCCAUAAUAUAGUUGAAUGGCAUCAUUUAAUUAUUAAAACCCAGGUGGUAAAGGAUGGGCAUGCGUCUGAUUAGUUAGUUGGUGAGGUAAUGGCUCACGAAGACGAUGAUCAGUAGGGGAACUGAGAGGUGGAUCCCCCAGCCUGGCACUGAGAUACAGGCCCGACUCCUACGGGAGGCAGCAGUAGGGAAUAUCGGUCAAUGGGUGAGAGCCUGAACCAGCCGAGCCGCGUGCAGGAAGAAGGCCUUCUGGGUUGUAAACUGCUUUUGUCAGGGGAUAAAAAGCUCGUGCGCGAGUAAUUGCAGGUACCUGAUGAAUAAGCCACGGCUAACUACGUGCCAGCCGCCGCGGUAAAAC